rnacentral:rRNA from 1 species
UGGGGAAUUUUGCGCAAUGGGGGAAACCCUGACGUAGCAACGCCGCGUGGGUGAUGAAGGCCUUCGGGUCGUAAAGCUCUGUCUGGAGGGAAGAAAUGAUUGGGAGCUAAUACCUCUUGAUCUUGACGGUACCUCUGAAGGAAGCACCGGCUAACUCCGUGCCAGCAGCCGCGGUAAUACGGAGGGUGCAAGCGUUGUUCGGAAUUAUUGGGCGUAAAGCGCGUGUAGGCGGUCUUUUAAGUCUGAUGUGAAAGCCCCGGGCUCAACCUGGGAAGUGCAUUGGAAACUGGGAGGCUUGAGUACGGGAGAGGAGAGUGGAAUUCCUAGUGUAGGAGUGAAAUCCGUAGAUAUUAGGAGGAACACCGGUGGCGAAGGCGGCUCUCUGGACCGAUACUGACGCUGAGACGCGAAAGCGUGGGUAGCAAACAGGAUUAGAUACCCUGGUAGUCCACGCCGUAAACGAUGAGUACUAGGUGUUGCGGGUAUUGACCCCUGCAGUGCCGUAGCUAACGCAUUAAGUACUCCGC